rnacentral:rRNA from 1 species
AUGGCUUCACCUUCACGAAAGAAGUCGUCGUCGAGGCGGCGAGACCGCAUCAGCAGCCUCCCCGACGGCGUGCUGGGCCACGUCCUCUCCUACCUCCCCAACAAGGAAGCCGGCCGUGCGGCCAUGCUUGGCCGCCGGUGGCGUGACAUCUUCUGCAGCGUGCACACCAUCUCCUUCGAGGAGGAAGAGGGUGAACGGGAAGAGGACUGGUACACCUACUUCGUCGAGGUUCAGGAGCGGAGGAGCUGCAGCAGUGUACUCAUCAACCAUGUUAGCGCCGCGCUCCUCCGUCGCCGCCGCCGGUACGAUGGCACCCGCACCGGCCUCCCCGUGCCGCUGCGCAGCCUCCGCUUCGCCUUCGACAACUACAACAAUUGGGACAAGGUCGUUGUUGACCAGUGGCUCUUCGACGUGCUGCGUCACGCCGAGAAGGAGCUCCACCUCGAUCUUCGCUUCCUCAUGGGCCCGAUCUGCAAACGCCGCAUUGGCAACAGCCGCUACAAAGACGAGUCAGGGUUUCAUAAGGACUGGGGGUACCUCCUUCCGAGAAGGCUCUACUCCUGCAUGGCCAUACGAACGCUAUGCCUUGGCCAUUGCAAACUGAAUCUACCAGAGAUCAUCAACCUGCCUUUCCUCGAAGCGCUGCGUCUCACGGGCAUCCUCGGCGAUGACUCCGGGGAAGCCAUCCAAAGAUUCAUCUGGGGCUGUCCCCGCCUCGCUGACCUGACGCUAGAAGCCAACAAUCGUCUUAAAAAGGUCUUUGUUCUUGACAAACACCUCCGAAGGUUUGCUCUCCGCUGCUGCCACAACUUGACGAAAGUAAGCAUCGAUGCUUCGGAGCUGAGGUCUCUGGACUACAGCGGCACCGUGCCUGAGGAAUUCCUCCUCUCUUUGCAUGGAUCUCCGGCAAUAUCCUCGUGCACCAUCGAAUUUUGCAAGGCCACACCCAUGGAGCCAGAGUUCGUACUGUUCAGAAGGUUUCUCCAAAAAGUCUCACCCUCGAAGCACCUGUGUCUGCACCAUCAAGGCUUGGACACUCAAUUCUUCAGGGUGUUCCCCUCGUUUCCUAGCCUGACACGACUCGAGCUACAUGGCCCCAUCCGAAGCAGCGACACAGUUGAUGCGGUCCGGAGGGUACUGGAGCAGACGCCGAACCUCGAGGUUCUGGCGCUCAACAUGGGAGGACAAAAGGAGGAAGAGGAAGAGGAAGAAGGGACCAUGUACCCGGGGGGGUUGAACAGAAGAGGAGUAGAUGAUGAUCAGGAGCAGUACCAUCAGUCCUUGGAUGAUGAUCAGGAGGAGGAGGAGGAAGAGGAAGAGGAGGAGGAGGAGGAGGAGGAGGCCAUGUACCCGGGGUGGUUCAACAGAAGAGGCGUAGAUGAUGAUCAGGAGCAGUACCAUCAGUCCUUGGAUGAUCUUGUGGAGCUCAGAGUUCCCAGCCGGUCGAGUUUUUCCAUGCGGUGCUUGCGCCGUAGAGUGAAGGAGAUCAGUAUGGUUAACUACCAGUGUGACGUGCAGCAUAGGGUGCUGGCCAGCCUGCUGUUCCGCAAUGCACUUGUGCUUGAAAGGAUGCGUGUCGUGUUUGUGAAGAAGGUGCCGUCCGAGUUGCAGGCUGAGCUCAUGAAGGAGAUUAAGAGCUGGCUAGUGGCCAAACCAGAAUUCAUGUGA